AGAACGAACGCUGGCGGCGCGUUUAAGCAUGCAAGUCGAGCGGCAAGGGCCUUCGGGCCCCUAGAGCGGCGGACGGGUGAGUAACACGUGGACAAUCUGCCCCCCGGCCCGGGAUAGCCCAGGGAAACCUGGAUUAAUACCGGAUGAGACGGGACCCGCGAUGGCGGGACCCGGGAAGGCGCUGCGGCGCCGCCGGGGGAUGAGUCUGCGUCCCAUUAGCUAGACGGCGGGGUAACGGCCCACCGUGGGCGACGAUGGGUAGCCGGCCUGAGAGGGUGGACGGCCACAUUGGAACUGAGACACGGUCCAGACUCCUACGGGAGGCAGCAGCUAAGAAUCUUCCGCAAUGGGCGAAAGCCUGACGGAGCGACGCCCGCGUGAACGAAGAAGGCCGUGAGGUUGUAAAGUUCUUUUCGGGAGGGGGAACAACCGUGGCAGGGAAUGGCCGCGGGAUGACGUGAAUCCCGGAAUAAGCCCCGGCUAACUACGUGCCAGCAGCCGC
rnacentral:rRNA from 1 species